CCUUCUUCUCCCUCCCUGUCCGGCCAAUCCCUCCCCUUGCCCAGCUCCGGCGCCGUGCUCCAAUGCCGUGUGAGGAGGCCUGGGGGGCGGGGGAGGACGAGUCGCGGUAGCGGGGGAGCCGGGGGGCAGACAGACCCAGCAGAGGGAGGAGGAGGACGACUCAUCCCCAGCCUGGUUCUGCAGAGGAGCUCGGCGUGAGCCCGAGGGAGCCGGGGCAGAGCGGCUGAAGCGAACGCCCGGCCGCAGCGAGAGGGAGCGGCGGAGGGGGAGAGGCUGGGCCGGCUCCCCUCCCUGCGCCGGGCUCUCCUGGGGGAGGAGGGCGGCUGGCUGCUUGUUCCGGCCUCCUCCUCUCUCUCUAACCACCCCAAAAUGAUUCAGCUCCAUGGCUGCCACUGACGGGAAUGUCCCUGCCCGGCUCAGGCUGCCGCCGCCGCCUUGCUGCGUGCCAGCCUUGUACGUAUCCGCCUGCGCCUUGCUGCUGCUAGGCGCCCCAGCCCGCCGCUCCGCGGAGCCCCCGAGACCCCCGCGCCUCUCCUCCGCACCCGGCCGCCAGAGGCGGCGGCGGCGGCCGCUCCCCCGGGGCCCCGCGGCGGGGAGGUCUGCUCUGCCCUGCCCACAGUCACCCCGCUGUAGCUACACACAGCUCGGCUGGGAGCCGGGCAAGGGGGGCGGGCGGUUGCUUUCUGAGUUGGCCGGAUAACGUGGGUAUUUGCUCCCCCCCCCCGGAGAAGAGGGCUCGGGGGGAGUGGAGAUCGGAGGGGAAAGUGAACGGCGAAGGACUGAAAGUGUCACAUUCACUGGCUCUGAUCUGAAGGCGGCGGAGGGACCCGGCCUCGCCCCCCCCCCCAGCCCCCGAGAGGAGGAGGAGGAGGAAAAGGGGCGGUUUAGUGACAGUGCCGGCUGUGCUGAGGCGUCUCAGCCUGUGCUGUGUGCGCCAGCGGGGAGAGGGGGUUGUGUGUGUGUGUGGUGCCUCUCCCCUGGGUUGCAUGCAAAGCUAACUGUGUGGCUGUCUCUCUCCGGGCCGGGGAAUUGCACUCUUAAAAUAAACCCGGUACAAUGCACCAGCCUGACUCAGCCGCAGACAUUAGUGCUAGGAAGAUGGCGCACCCGGCAAUGUUUCCUAGAAGGGGCAGCGGCGGCAGCUGCGUUACUGCGCUCAAUGCACCAGGUACCGGCGCUGGUAGCGGUGCCCUCUCCACCGAGGAUUAUCCGCCGCCUCUGCUCAUCCAGCCGCCGCCUCCAUCUCUUGCAGCAUCUUCAUCGGCGGGUCCACAGCCUCCACCCCCUCCUCCACAAAGCCUGAACCUCCUCGCCCAGUCUCAACUCCAGCCACAGCCUCUUGCACAGGCUGGAGCCCAAAUGAAAAAGAAAAGUGGCUUCCAAAUUACCAGCGUGACCCCAGCUCAGAUCUCCGCCAGUAUGAGCUCUAACAACAGCAUAGCGGAGGACACAGAAAGCUACGACGACCUGGAUGAGUCCCACACUGAAGACCUGUCGUCUUCAGAAAUUUUGGAUGUUUCUUUAUCCAGGGCCACUGACUUGGGUGAACCUGAACGGAGCUCCUCCGAAGAGACUUUAAAUAACUUCCAAGAGGCUGAGACUCCUGGGGCUAUCUCUCCAAACCAGCCUCACCUUCCUCAGCAGCAUACCCCUUUGCCUCAUCACCCACAGCAGAGUGUUGUGAUCAAUGGAAAUGUUCACCCCCAUCAUGCUCACCAUCACCACCACCUUCAUCAUCACCAUCAUGGGCAUCAUCAUCCAUCGCAUCCUGGGGUGGGCAGUACACCAGCUUCUGGAGGACCACCCCCAAGUCCAUCAUUUAGAAAGCUGUCCACAGCUGGAAGCUCUGACAAUGUUAUCACAACUGCACCAGUUUCUGCUGCAUCAUCCACUGGUACACCUGCAUCUGCCCUGUCUAAUAUUCGCACUAUGAGUACUCCUGGCAGUGUAGGUGUAAGUCCUGUUACUGGAACUAGUACGUUAAGUAAUGUGGGCGGUGGUAGUCCUAGUAUGACAAGCAGCAUGCUUGGUAACGUUAAUAUAAACUUAAGCAACAUCACAAGUGCUGCUAAUGUACAUGCUUUGUCUGGAGCGAGCAGCAAUGUUAAUGUGAAUAUCUUGAGUGGUGUCGGCAAUGGUACGAGUGCUUCCUCUAAUAUCAUUAAUAAUGUUACUAAUCCAACUGCAGGAAUGGCAGUAGGAUCAAGUCAGCAGCAGCCUGCAGCUGGCACAUCAAGGUUUAGAGUCGUAAAAUUAGAUUCUAGUUCUGAACCUUUUAAAAAAGGUAGAUGGAUAUGCACUGAAUUCUAUGAUAAAGAAAACACUGUAGCAGUUACAGAAGGAGUAGCAGUAAACAAAGUGGUAGAGACUAUAAAACAAAAUCCAUUUGAAGUGACUUCUGAAAGGGAGAGCACCAGUGGGAGUUCUGUUAGCAGCAAUGUAAGCACACUGAGUCACUACACAGAAAGUGUGGGAAGCGGGGAAAUGGGAGCACCUACUGUGAUACAACAGCAGACAUUUCAAGGUGUGGGUCCACAACAGAUGGAUUUUAGUAGUACUGGACCUCAGACUAUUCCAGCAUCCAGUAUACCACAGAGUAUUUCUCAGUCACAGCUUUCACAAGUACAGUUGCCUUCUCAAGAAGUAAACUAUCCACAGCAAAAGCAAGGAGUCCAGCCUUCAGCGCAGGCUAGUCUAACAACUGUUACUGGUGUUCAGCCAACUCCAGUUAAUGUGGUAGGUGUGUCAUCUUUAGGUCACCAACAACCUGCCAUUCCAAGUGUGGCUCAACAGCAGCUACCAUAUUCUCAACCCUCACAGCCUGUGCAGACUUUGCCUGUUGUACCACAACAGCAGUUACAGUAUGGACAACAACAGACACUUCCUACGCAGAUGGCCGCAGCACGAGUUAAACCGGUGAAUCAGAGUUGCGUGACCGGGACCAUACCGGACUACAUACAACAUCAGCAGAUACUUCAGCCUCCAGUGCCUGCUGUGCAAUCCAGCUCUACAGGAGUAGGAGCAGGAACACCUGUUCCUGUUGCUCAGGCACCAAGCAUCCAACCUUCUGUACAAGUACACCCUGCUGUGGCACCAGCUCAGCCUGUUGCACAUGCUCAGACAGCAAUGCCAUCUGUAGGUACUAGUGGUCAAAUUGUUAACAUUGGACAACAAGGAAGUGUACCUGCUGUGGUGCAGCAGCCACCUGUUGCAAACCAAAUUACACCUUCAGUUAUGCAGCAAAGUGCUGCUCCUCCGUCUUCACAAGUGGUGCAGCCUGUUCAGACUGGGAUAAUUCAGCAGGGGCUACAAGCUGGUGCUUCAAGCCUUCCUCCGCAAAUGGUCAUUGCUUCACAAAAUGCUUUAUCUGUACAACCCCAGGCACAAGUGGAAACUGUAGUUCAAGGAAUGACCAGCCAACCAUUGCCUGCAGUUAGCCCUAUACCUUCUACUAGUACUGUUCCUGCACCAAGUCAAGCUAGUUCAAAUGUACCUCCUGGUAUACCUUCUGCUCCUGUAAUUUUGGGUCCAUCACAGAACAUAGCACAAGCUUCAGCUGUGCAAAAUGGGAAUUUGGUUCAAAGUGUUAGUCAGCCUCCCUUGAUAACAACUAGUAUAAGUAUGCCAGUGGCACAGAAUGUGCCACAACAGAUACCGCUCAGCACUACCCAGUUCUCUGCACAAUCACUAACUCAGUCAGUUGUGAGCCAAAUCGAAGAUGGGAGGCGCCCUACAGAUCCUUCCUUAGUUGGUUUACCUCAAGCUGCCAGUGGUGAAGGUGGUGGUGGAGCGUCGGCUGUUUCAGAUGGGAGCGGCAGCAACAUAACAUCCUCUGCUUCCCUUUUUCCACUGAAGGUACUGCCAUUGACAACUCAUCUUGUUGAUGGUGAGGAUGAGAGAAAUGACUUCUUCAGAGGCAGCAGGCGAACAUUUUUCAAGGACAUUUCUGGCACCCCUUCCCCUAGAGACUGAAAGCAUCCUUCAUGGCAGUUGCUUUUAAUUCAAUGUGGAACACACCCCUCACCCUCCAAGACUGUGGAACAGACUGUUCAAAGUAUUUCCCUGCUGAACUGACCACUUGAAAAAAAAACAUUGAGGGAUUCUUGAUCCUAACAGCUGGUCUUACAGUAAGUCACUUUUUGGAACUAUGGGAACUACAAUGUUGACCAUCUGAUAUAAAGCAUUAAAGGAAGCUCAGAGGCUUGACUCAAAUGAAGGAGAGGGUCCUGUGAGACACAUAAAACCAUCUGAAAUAUGGUUAAUCAGACUUUGAAACCCACAUCAUUAAGAGGGAUACAGAAUGACUGAGUCUAACAUUGCACACUGGUAUGUCUGUGAAGAGGCAUUACCAAAGUUAAUUAUGUCUAGUGCAAAUGCUGGGAGGUCUGACUGAGCAAAGCAGCUGACCCCCAAAGCAAAGGGAAGAAACCAACAAGAAAGCUGAUUGAAGAAAGGAAGAAGACAGAAUCCAAGAAAUAUCAGUGAGUCAGUUUCAGGCAGAAGCUCCCAAGUUGCAGAGUCAAAAUGAGAUUUCCUUUGGGGAAGGAUCAGCUUCCAGGAUUUGCUCCUCCCUUAUUCCCUGGAUAGACACUGAAUUCUUGAACCCUCCAUCAGUGUUGCAGAACAUGCAGGAUCCUUAGAUCCAGAAUAUUGGCUGUCUUCGGGGUGGAAGCCCAGACAGAUUUCAGCUCCUAGGAAAUAAAUGUUCAUUCAGGAGACAUUCUGGUCUCCUGUAGUUCUUCACUGAAGUGUUAUGCAGAAUGUUUGUUUGAUCUGGCCCCUCUUACCUUGCUGCCCCUUGGUUCAAGUAAAUACACUGAUAAAGCUUGCAAGUCUACGGUGAGCAGAUCUUCAAAUCUCAAAUUAAGUGACGUUGGGCCUCCACAUCCUCUGCAUAGGAGACCUCAGAGGAAUCUGAAACCUGCUUCUCUUGUGCUCCAGACACCGCUGCUCUUAUAAGACCAACCCCCCUUCUUGCACUUCUGGUUCAAUUUCUGUAACUAUAAAGUAUAUCUGUAAAGAGAACUUAUGAAAAAUAAUGGAUUUAUGUAAUCAGUUUCUUCUUCCCUGGGUUUUUAGGAAAGAAUUGAGCCCAAACUGUCAAAAUACCAAGAUGUACAGUAUUACAUGUUUGAAACUUCUACAAAUUGAAGCAAAUUGUUAACUUAAAUUUAAGUGUUUUGGAGGGCUCAGGAGAGAUGUGGAGAUAGAAUUCAGCGUGGCUUGUCACCCUUUUAAGGUUUUUUGGGGGAAAGCCUAUUCUAUACAUCAGUAUGUAGCAGUUCUUUAUAAGAUAACUUCUGUAUCCAAAUUCAGUUCAGUGUGGUGCGAGAUCAGCUGAGAAAUAAGUAAUAUGUCUGGCAUUACUUGAAGCAUAUUACUGAAUGUCAUAGGCAAACUUUCCAGUUUAGGAAAUGGGUGCUGAAGAACAAGGUUUAUUUUUUGAGCUUCAGAUUUCAAAAAACCCCCUUAAAAUAGUUUUGGAAGUUCCUGUAAGAGAUUAACAUUAGUCUUUACCAAUAGCGGAAGAGCAUCCUGUUUUUUUUUCUCUGCGAUCUACUUCUGGCAGUUGGAAUAAACUGAUCAGAUGCUUGUGCCUCCUUCCACCUAGUUUCUUAAAUCCGUUCACCAUGAAAUGUUUUUAACUAAUGCCUAGAUCUUUCAUUAAAUUAACCAGCAUACCUAAAUUGUCUAACAGUCUUAACACAGCCCCCAGGCUACAACUUCACGGCAGUUGUGAUUUCUUAUCAUGUUGGAAUACAUUUCAGUUGAAGUAUAUUGUCUAAAACUAAUUAUUUAGAUAGUGUUGCUUAAAUACAUACUUACGUAGUGAGCCAUUCACAUUGGAUUUACUUAAAUUAGGCCCUUUCAAAUUAAAAAAUCGUUCAUGUGGCUUUUCCUUUGCCAAGAAUAGCUAUCAAACUGCUUAUUGCUUACAUCCUGAUUUCUGCUGUAGUCAUAUAGUCUGUAAAAUACACAAUUUAUAAUUUUAUGUUUUUUAGAAAAUUGAUAAAAUGUUUGUUGGACUGCAGUAACUGAUUUAAAAUGAACUGAUUUACACUGAUUUCUUUAAUCCACAAACACAAUUGUGUGGUGAUGCCAUACAAAGUUCAGUGUGGUAAAUCAAAAGUGAAGAUGUAUUUAACUUUUUAAAGAAAGCUGUCUGUCUUUGAAGUCAGUAUCUCACUUAUGCAUAUUGAAUAAUUUUCAGAGUAGCAGCCAUGUUAGUCUGUAUUCGCAAAAAGAAAAGGAGGACUUGUGGCACCUUAGAGACUAACAAAUUUAUCUGAGCUUAAGAUUUCAUGAGCUACAGCUCACUUCAAUGGAUGCAACAUUUAUUUUGACUUUUUUUUUUUGCCUGCAGAGACUUAAAAUCCAAUUGUAGAGCUUCAGGACUAAACAUCUUUAAAUCCAAGAAAAAAAAAGGCAAAAUAUGUGAUCUUAAAACACUGCUGGUAUAAGUGCUGUCCUGGAUGAGGACCUAAGUAUCUGACUAAGUCCCAUUGAUUUAAAGAUAAGCACAUGCUUAAGUACCCUUCCUGAAUAGGCAUCCUCCUCUGAAUUGAGGUAUUAAAUAACUUUCUUUGGUGAAGGAUAAUCUAAAUUACUCUGCACACCUUGUGAGAAUUGUUUUAAUGAUAAAGUCUCUAAAGACAUAAUGUCAAGUUUUAAAAAAUAUUUUUAAGCUUUAAAAAAAUUAGUUGACUUUGUUACAACUCCUUGGAAACUUAAAAGUGUCCAUAUCAAAUUUAUUUCCAUUCAUGAAAGUAAAUGUUUUUGUUAACACUUUUAAAAAUAGUUUUUUGUUGGUAUUUUGAUACUUCUGCUCUGCACCAGCAUUGUGUAAUGUAAUCUUUGGUGCUCUGUGACCUGCAGCUUGACUGCUGGUGUUUUAUAGAAAGGUGUCUUUUGAUUAUGUAUUAUCAAAUAUUAAUAAAGGUAUUAAAACAA